AGAAAGUUAGUCUAGCCAAGACAGCUGAUUUCGACUCAGCAAACCAUAGUCCACCCCUAUGACUUUCUU
rnacentral:tRNA from 1 species